CACAGCAGACUGGGAGUGCAUGGCAGUGGACAGGACAGUACAAUGCCCUGGAGAUCUAGAGAGGAAAAUCAAGCCAGUCUGUUGUAUGAAAAGGGCCUUGUGCGUGCUAGGCAAGUGUUCCACUUCUGAGUUCUGUUAUGGCUCUUUUGGUUUUUUGGAUUUGGUUUUUUCGAGACAGGGUUUCUCUGUGUAACCCUGGCUGUCCUGGAACUCACCCUGGAACUCACUCUGUAGACCAGGCUGGCCUCGAACUCAGAAAUCCACCUGCCUCUGCCUCCCAGAGUGCUGGGAUUACAGGUGUGCACCACCACCAACAGGCAUGAUCUCACUUUGUAACCCAAAUUCUCAAUCCUCCUGCAUCAUCUCCUAAAUGCUAAGAUUACAAACAAGUGUGUGCUGCUGUGCCCUGUGCACUUUUCUGUGAAAUAGAGGAAGCCUUUGUCUCUCUGGAGAGGGUUCUCUUUGCUCUUGAGACAUCAGUUAUGCAACCAGGGGCUGUGCUUGUAUUUGCUGUGGGAUCCUGGGCCUGGGUCGUUACCCUGAGGCUUCCCUGGGUUUUCUCCCUGCCUCUAGUUAAUAACUGGAACCCCCACUGCCUGUCUUUUGUGUAACUGCUCUUGGUUCUAAACUAAGAGAAAGGCUGUCUUUGAUCUUCCCUGACAGUGCUCUGUAGUGACAAUUCUGGAAUUUUGAUUUUUUUGUUUUUUAAAAAAGAAAGAAAUGUUUUAA